GGAUGUGAAAGGUCACUAUUUUACUUUAGGAUGGUCUUGAAUAGUAAUGACUCUUCCCAAUAAUGUUGGCUUCUGGAGGAUGAACUUGAGGGAUCUACUGUGGGAUGAGAUGGUCCAGCCUAAAGUCACGUGCAAAGCAGAAGGUUGGGUGAAGUCCAGAAAAAUGCAAUUUGUUGGAACCUUGAUAACAUUGGGAAUACUUGAUUUAGAAAACACUGUGAAACUUUACAUGCAAGCUUCUUAAAGACUUUUGGAUUUGAUGCCAGCAUCUGCCACUGAUUGUUCUGUGUGGAGGACAGAGGCCCUGGAAUUGUUCAGGCAGUCCCUUACCAUGGUACAGAAAGCAGAGGGAGGUCUGGGCUUUGGGCUGUCCUGAUUCAUCCUGAGGAAAACCUGGCACAGAAGAGAGUCCUCUUACAGAAAACUGCCUGCUGCCACAAGUGGGGAGCCUAGCAAUAACAGAGGCUUCUAAAACUCAAUUCUGAUAAGAUCACUUGCAGGAAAACAUACUUUUCUUGGCUUCAGUGCAAGAUUCAUGUUAGAACCUUGUAAUCUGAAGUUUAGAAAUCAAUAGGUAUUUUAGAAGAAAUAAUACAGCCUUCCUUAGAGACAACUGUAUCUAUAUAUUGGUGUUGACACUCCUACUAUUUCGUGCUUAAACCAGAAUGCUACAGUGUUUUCUACUAUACUCUAAGGAGACUUACACUGUGUUUACUGUAUUUAUAAUUCUUUUUUUCUGGACUGUACUUCUAAAAUGUUGUUCUAGAUUAGCUGGUUCCUACAGCCUCAAUAUUAUGUGUUGUCAGUUGCCAAUGAGAUGCAUUUCCUGGACAGUAGCAGUUUUAGCUGAUAAGUAAUAUAGGCUGUAUUUGCAAGAUGUCCUAAACCACUACUGUCCAAACAACAUACCCACAUCAAAAUUUUUAUUUUAGACUGUUUAGUUAGUUGCAAACUGUAAUACACUAAGUUUAUGAUGUUACUUUCUUAGGUCCUUGUGCUAGUGCUCUUCAGUAUGGGGUUUCAGUGAUGCGGGUCAGUAAGCACACCACUGUUUCAUUGGGACUGAGUACUUGUGAGGUGCCAUACAAAAAAUGUUCAGCUACGGACGCGCUGAAAUCUAAGGCUGUAGUUAACAGUGUACUGCAUGUUCAGCCAUGGAGGACACUCAUUCCCUGCAAUUUUCAGCUAGGAAAAGACAAAGUAUUUCAAA